rnacentral:rRNA from 1 species
CAUACGGGUGGCAGCAGUGAGGAAUAUUGGUCAAUGGGCGGGAGCCUGAACCAGCCAAGUCGCGUGAGGGAAGACGGUCCUAUGGAUUGUAAACCUCUUUAGGCGGGGAGCAAUGCCGGGCACGCGUGCCCGGAGGGAGCGUACCCGCAGAAUACGCAUCGGCUAAAUCCGGGCCAGCAGCCGCGGUCAAACGGAGGAUGCGGUCGGUAUCCGGAUUUAUUGGGUUUAAAGUGUGCGUAGGCGGAUUUUUAAGUCAGCGGUAAAAUGUCCGGGCUCAACCCGGGCGGGCCGUUGAAACUGGGGAUCUUGAGUGGGCGAGAAGUAUGCGGAAUGCGUGGUGUAGCGGUGAAAUGCAUAGAUAUCACGCAGAACUCCGAUUGCGAAGGCAGCAUACCGGCGCCCGACUGACGCUGAGGCACGAAAGCGUGGGGAUCGAACAGGAUUAGAUACCCUUGUAGUC